AUUGAACGCUGGCGGCAGGCCUAACACAUGCAAGUCGAGCGGGCGGCGGACGGGUGAGUAAGGUAUGGGGAGUGCCCGAUAGAGGGGGGUAAAUAAUGGAAACGGAGGCUAAUACAGCAUACUGUCGGAUGACCCAUCUGGGAUUAUCUAGUAGGUAAGGUAAUGGCUUACCUAGGCGACGAACCCUAGCUGGUCUGAGAGGAUGAUCAGCCACACUGGGACUGAGACACGGCCCAGACUCCUACGGAGGCAGCAGUGGGGAAUAUUGCACAAUGGCGGCAAGCCUGAUGCAGCCAUGCCGCGUGUAUGAAGAAGGCCCUAGGGUUGUAAAGUACUUUCAGUCGGGAGGCGUUACCUACAGAAGAAGCACCGGCUAACUCCGUGCCAGCAGCCGCGGUAAUAC
rnacentral:rRNA from 1 species